GCGCACCAGGCGCGAAACUUUACAAUGUGCGAAAGCACGAUAAGGGAACUCUGAGUGCCUCCUAAGGAGGCUGUUCAGGUGUCUAAAAGCACCUGAAGGAAGGGCUGGGUAAGACCGGUGCCAGCCGCCGCGGUAACACCGGCAGCCCAAGUGGUAGCCACGUUUAUUGGGUCUAAAGCGUCCGUAGCCGGCUGGGUAAGUUCCUUGGGAAAUUUGGCUGCUUAACAGUCAAGCUUUCAGGGAAUACUGCCCGGCUUGGGACCGGGAGAGGUCAGAGGUACUCCAGGGGUAGGGUGAAAUCCAUUAAUCCUUGGGGGACCACCGGUAGCGAAGGCGUCUGACCAGACCGGGUCCGACGGUGAGGGACGAAGGCUAGGGGCGCGAACCGGAUUAGAUACCCGUGUAGU
rnacentral:rRNA from 1 species